AGGACUAACGCUGGCGGCGUGCCUAACACAUGCAAGUCGAACGAGGUAGCAAUACCUAGUGGCAGACGGGUGAGUAACGCGUAGAUAAUGUGCCCUCUUGCGGGGGAUACCGUUUCGAAAGGAACGUUAAUACCGCAUAACACGAAUUUCAGGCAUCUGGAGUUCGUCAAACUUCCGGGGCGGGAGGAGCAGUCUGCGUUCUAUCAGCUAGUUGGUGGGGUAAUGGCCUACCAAGGCGACGACGGAUAACUGGUCUGAGAGGAUGAUCAGUCACACUGGAACUGAGACACGGUCCAGACUCCUACGGGAGGCAGCAGUGAGGAAUAUUGCGCAAUGGGCGAAAGCCUGACGCAGCGACGCCGCGUGGAGGAUGAAGGCCUUCGGGUUGUAAACUCCUGUCAGUGGGGAAGAGAAUGGACGGUACCCACUGAGGAAGCUUCGGCUAACUACGUGCCAGCAGCCGC
rnacentral:rRNA from 1 species